rnacentral:rRNA from 1 species
UACAGAGGGUGCGAGCGUUAAUCGGAAUUACUGGGCGUAAAGCGUGCGUAGACGGUAGCGUAAGUCAGAUGUGAAAGCCCCGGGCUCAACCUGGGAACUGCAUUUGAGACUGCUCUGCUCGGGUGCGGAAGAGGGAAGCGGAAUUUCCGGUGUAGCGGUGAAAUGCGUAGAUAUCAAGUGGAACACCAGUGGCGAAGGCGAGUCUCUGGACAUUUCCUGACGCUGAGGCACGAAAGCCAGGGGAGCAAACGGG